CUGGACCAAACAUCUCCUACAAGGAAAGCUCUGUGGAGAAGGCAAGCAGGUAGAGCUCAACCUGACCAUUCCAUGCACAUGCCUAGCAAUUCAUACAAUUUGCUCGAAAGUUGAGGUCUCUCCUCACCUCCCCUGAGGAAACAAACAAAACAAAUGAAAAAGAAAACAGGUAGUGUCAUAGCAGGAUGCACUUCCUCCCCUUGAGAAUUCAGAAUUUGGGAGCCCACCAUCAAUUAAUACCAGAGAAAUAACAAGGAGAUUCUCUGGAGGAAACAUAAAAAAGGCAAGCACUUGAUUUGGGGCUCUGAAUGGUGAAUGGAGGGAGAGCCAGUGUCUGUCUUCUCACUAACACCACUACUGCAGUUGCUUCGAGUAGCUCCCCUCCUUCUAGGAGCUCCCCACCUUCCAGGAAGCGACAGAAACUUGGCUUUUCCCCACUCCCCAAAAGCCUGCAAAGUAGACAUCACGGAUCCCAUUCUCUAAAUGGGAAAACGGAGGCUCAGAGGUUGAGUGAUUUAUUUAAAGUGCAGCAUAAGCAAGCAAAGAAGCCAGCAGGAGAUAAGAGUUUGCCUAACUCCCCAGUCAAUUUUCAGUUCCCCAGAUAACACAGAGCCUAAAUAAACCUACAUCAACACCAUAUGGUAUCAGCAAAGCAGGGGGAUGUUGGGCAUUUGUACUAAAAUGGGCUAUAAAGGAAAGCUAGUUUGUACAUGAGUAGUCAGGGAGCAAACUAUCUUUUUGAUAAUUCUCAUAAUUUUUAGUUCAGUAACCCAGGGUGACAUGAGUUUUGAGGGACUGGACAACUUUGCUGCCAUCUAUUCAUUCCCAUGAUUUUUAAAAACAGAAAUUACGAAAAAAAAAUUCAUAAUCAUUAUGAAUAUCUUAUAGGUGACAACUUAAUUAAGCAUACUUAGAAUUCUGGCUUAUUAAAAAUACUUCUUGGCGACAGAGCUUGAGGUCCCUUUAAAGGACUUUCCUUAAAUUUUGAAAUGAAAAUACAUUCUGUUUUCAUGUGGGAUAAGCUGUUUCAGAAUUUUCUUCAAUGCCAAUAUGCAACUUAGAUUUAGGAAAACCACAUUGCAAACCUGUUAACAUAUAAUGGCCAUGAAGUAAUCCAAUGAACAGUCCCCUGCACAAAGCGCUCGCUGUAUCCCACUAGGCUGCCAUAAGGGGCAAAUACAAUUUGUCUAUAGAAUUAGGCUUCGCAGUUAGAGUCCCUGCUUUUGGUGUGUGAUAUCCUGUGGACUACAAGCAGAUUUAGUGUCCCCAAACAGAUGGGCUUUCCCUUUAUGGGCCACUCUUAAGUUUUCUCAGCAAACCACAGCUGUGCUAAUGUCCCUUUGUGUAAAGAAUUGUUUAAGUUGAACCACUUCCUUUUACCUGAUGUGUAUUCAGAGUUUUGAGCCGGGGACAAUUGGGAUAUGGCAACAUCUGCAGAAAAAGAAGAUUCCCUUCUUUGUGCUCUUUAGUACUGGCUGUGACAGGAGAAACUUCUUUGGAGAUCAGUGACGGUCCUUAGUUACAAAUAACAAACCCACUCUAGUUAGUUGAAGCAGUUUGGUAAGGAAUUUGUGGUGUCUCAAGAAAUUUCUAGAAAUCCAUGGAAUCAAGCCAGGAGGGUUUGCAGAUAGAAAAAGUGCCCAGGCUGCACUGCCAGACUGUGCCAUGGGGUAGAUGCAACAACUCUCCCUGCCAACACUGACUGGGAUACCAUGGCCAGAACCUCUUGCUCUGCUGCCUCCGAGAGCUGAGUGAGUCUCGGUCUCCCUGAUCUGAGUGCAUUCCUCAUAACAUCACAUUCUUUCGUGGAAUUUUCUUCCAAAAUGAAAUCUGUAGCAUAUCUGGUCCCAUGGCAGUGACACGUGGGUAAGCAACUGUCUAAACUCUACCUUGGGGAAGUGGAAGAUCUCUCAAACCCUGAAAAGAUGUUCAGAAGGUAAGUGGUGAUCUACAUCAAGGAUGUCCAGUGCACCUGCUUUUUGGCUGGCCCAUCAUUCUUCUUCUACAUGAAAAUCCUAAACACCAACUACAAGAACAAGAACAAAAUGCUUCCAUCUAACAUCAUGUAAUUAUUCCUUGCACAACAGAGAAGCGCACUCGCCCUCUCCUCUAAAAGAGGACAAGGAGGACCCUCUUUGAUUUCUACCAGUGGAAGGCUCUCCUUCUGCAGUCACAGUCCCAUCUUCAAGUUCUAUGACCCAGGCACUACCCUGUACCUGCUCAUGUACCCUAUAAAAUGGGAGGGAAGCAAGAAAAGAAGAAAAAGGAAGAAUCGUCAGUGUGUG
rnacentral:lncRNA from 1 species